UACGAAGGGGGCUAGCGUUGCUCGGAAUUACUGGGCGUAAAGUGUGCGCAGGCGGCCGCGCAAGUCGAGUGUGAAAGCCCCGGGCUUAACUUGGGAAUUGCGCUCGAAACUACGUGGCUGGAGUGUGGCAGAGGAAGGUGGAAUUCCACGUGUAGCGGUGAAAUGCGUAGAGAUGUGGAGGAACACCAAUGGCGAAGGCAGCCUUCUGGGCCAACACUGACGCUCAUGCACGAAAGCGUGGGGAGCAAACAGG
rnacentral:rRNA from 1 species